AUUGAACGCUGGCGGCAUGCCUUACACAUGCAAGUCGAACGGCAGCACAGGUGCUUGCACCUGGUGGCGAGUGGCGAACGGGUGAGUAAUACAUCGGAACGUACCUUAUCGUGGGGGAUAACGCAGCGAAAGCUGUGCUAAUACCGCAUACGCCCUGAGGGGGAAAGCGGGGGAUCGCAAGACCUCGCGCGAUUAGAGCGGCCGAUGCCUGAUUAGCUUGUUGGUGGGGUAAAAGCCCACCAAGGCGACGAGCAGUAGCUGGUCUGAGAGGACGAUCAGCCACACUGGGACUGAGACACGGCCCAGACUCCUACGGGAGGCAGCAGUGGGGAAUUUUGGACAAUGGGGGCAACCCUGAUCCAGCAAUGCCGCGUGAGUGAAGAAGGCCUUCGGGUUGUAAAGCUCUUUUGUCAGGGAAGAAACACCGGCUCUAACACAGUCUGGGAAUGACGGUACCUGAAGAAUAAGCACCGGCUAACUACGUGCCAGCCGCCGCAGUAA
rnacentral:rRNA from 1 species